GUCCAUUGUCAGUGUCUAAGCUUUGGGUUCGCAGGACACUCUCUUGAAAAAAAGUGGAGAGACAUUUGGGCUGAAGAUGAGCUGAUUCCGCAUCCACUCAGGGUCAUCUCAAAGUCCCCAGUAACAAAACGCUUAGGAGGUAGAAAAUGGAAGUUGCACGGAAGACAAAAGGGCCCUAAAGAAUAAAAAUAGCAAGAUCUAGGACUACGGAACUCGUCCAGAAAUUGCCAAUUGACUCAUGAAGUGCUGAUAUGCAUAAUUCUUCAUUUUCCACAAUGGUAGAAAAUUUAAUACAAACUUCCCCUGAACAAUGCCUUGGAAGAUGCACGUGCCUGGAUAGAUAUCAGUCGCACAGUCACCAAAAAUAUCCCAUCCAAAUGACAGUUAGAUAAGAGGAGAUAUUGCAGAUUCAAAACAAUAGUACCUAACAGUUAGGACAAACCUGAAUUGUCAACAUUUCUUCUACGACAAGCAGGCUGAAGAAUGUUGUCUGAAGGUUAGAAUAGUAAAGUCCACAGCUCAACUUUAGUGCAUAAAUUAUCAUAUUGUGAAAGACGAUCAGAGAAUACCACUGACCUCAGUAUGCCAAUAUGAACUCAUACUAGGUUAUGCAGAUCCAGUUGGAAUGUCUUCCCUGGGAGACAGAGCAACUGUGCCUUGUAAGCUGAGCAAAUAAAUUUCAUGCUUGAACCAUCGGCAUCUGGAAGGGAAUCUCCAAAUGCUUUUAU